rnacentral:rRNA from 1 species
UACGAAGGGGGCUAGCGUUGUUCGGAAUUACUGGGCGUAAAGAGCUCGUAGGCGGUGUGUCACGUCGGCCGUGAAAACCUGCAGCUUAACUGUGGGCGUGCGGUCGAUACGGGCAUCACUGGAGUUCGGCAGGGGAGACUGGAAUUCCUGGUGUAGCGGUGAAAUGCGCAGAUAUCAGGAGGAACACCGGUGGCGAAGGCGGGUCUCUGGGCCGAUACUGACGCUGAGGAGCGAAAGCGUGGGGAGCAAACAGG